CACGACGCCACCGUUCGGCUCGGUGGACGCACAGGCUCGGCCACGCAUGGGCGCCCGCACGCGGGGCCCUGGGACGUCGAGCUUCCCGCGAGCUUGCAACCUCGCCACACAUUUUGUAUACCAAACCUCCAUUAUCCGACUGGACACACGCUAUAAAAAAAAGAGAAAAGAGGGGAGACACCGGAGCGAGGGCACGUUGAUAGAUCACGGUGGUGGGACGAUGAUGAGCGCAUCGAGCUUAGCGCGAGUUUGCAAGCUCGCGACAAAGACCACGUUUUUUACAUGUAUAUCAAGGUGGUACACCGGUCGUGGAUGAGUUUCUAGCUCGCUUUAUUUCCCCGAGAAGCGUCGAGAGCUUGCCGGAGAGCGAAGCUUGCUGCGACACCUCUCCUCGCUGUUUCUACUGGUUGCAACCAAAUUAUUGGUGGUUAUUAUAGCGUGAUCGCCGCCGGGCCGCGGGUCAAAAAAACAGGCUUCGAGAGAGCUCACCGGCUCGCACGCGAUUCCUUGAUUCCCCGCUCUCUACAUACGGUGCCUCCUACAUCCCCGAUGCCUGACGGGGGACAAAGCUGGCCACGCCUACGCGAGAUCACACGUCCAGGGGCUGUCGACACCAUUCACACCGUUAAAUACGAACGCUUAGCCCUAAGUUUUGUGUUGUACAGCUUGGCGCCUAGUCUAAUGUACCGCGAGGUAACGCGCGUCUAUGGAAGCGGCGAGAGAGAGCGAGAGAGAAACACGGUCCUGGCAAUCGGGCGUUGAUACGCGAUCAGCUCGAUCGUCUUGCAACGUGUCGAUCGGCGUGCAUCUUCGACUUUAGUUUCAAUGAUACGCGACAAAAAUGCGCGUAACAUUGACAAAAACAUUCACAAAAAUUAACGUGCGAACGUUGAUCGGUUCGAAGUCGUUUGAACCGAGUCUGACCAGGUUUGUAAAAUGUAUGGACGUUCGAGGACGGUUUCAUUAGGUUCACGUUGGGUUCGAUUGUAAAGACGCAGGUGUAAAUGUGUUCAGCAACAAGGAUUUUACUGGGUUCGAAGCUGUGUGAGCAGAGUUUGAUCGCGUUUGUAAACGGUGUGCACAUUUGAGACCGGCUUGAUCAGGUUCGCGUUGCGUUCAGUUCGCAGGCACGCGUGUAAAUAUGUCCAACGACGCGGAUCAUACUGUUUGAAGCUGUUUGAGCCAAGUUCGACUGCGCGAAAAUGAUCAUAUUUCUAUGUACAGCAUCGUUCGACGAUUUGAGGCCGGUUUCACCAGGUUCGCAUUGAGUUCGGUUCAAUGGCACGCGUGUAAAUAUGUCCAACGACGCGGAUCAUACUGUUUGAAGCUGUUUGAGCCAAGUUCGACUGCGCGAAAAUGAUCAUAUUUCUAUGUACAGCAUCGUUCGACGAUUUGAGGCCGGUUUCACCAGGUUCGCAUUGAGUUCGGUUCAAUGGCACGCGUGUAAAUAUGUCCAACGACGCGGAUCGUACACUGUUUGAAGCUGUUUGAGCCAAGUUCGACUGCGCGAAAAUGAUCAUAUUUCUAUGUACAGCAUCGUUCGACGAUUUGAGGCCGGUUUCACCAGGUUCGCAUUGAGUUCGGUUCAAUGGCACGCGUGUAAAUAUGUCCAACGACGCGGAUCAUACUGUUUGAAGCUGUUUGAGCCAUGUUUGACUGCGCGAAAAUGAUCAUAUUUCUAUGUACAGCAUCGUUCGACGAUUUGAGCGCGGUUUGAUCAGGUUUACAGGUGGUUCGGUUCGGAAACCUUGACACAACCUGCGCGGAAAUAUGUCAAAUAACAUCGGUUCUAUUGUUUGAUGUUAUUCGAGUUAUUCAAGUCCCCCGUGAAAUUAAAGCUCGGCGAUGGUUGGACAUGCGAGAAAAAUUUGCUCGAUAAAACGAGCUUCCGCGUACGUUCGAAGGCAAUUGAGAUUAGGAUACGCCGCGUUUCGCACGAUUGCCAGGAUCUUGUUCUCGCGAGCCCACACCAUGCCCCACACACCGUUCGAUUCCUUGAAUAUUUGUAUAUAUCUAUACACGUCUAUUGGAGAACGUCUGUUGGUGUAGGGACGCGUUCCCUCGACGAGGUUCGCAUGUGUUCCCGUUUCGUCGUUGAUCGUUUGUUGUACUAUAUCCGUAAGGUGUACUAUAAUGAGGAGAAGAGAGCGAGAGAGAGAGAGAGAAGAUUGGAGGAGACGAAGUGAAGAAGAAGAAGAUGUCGCAAAGGAAAGGACACGGUGGAACAGAUGUUCGCGGGUGAUGUAAGUGAGCGAAAAGGGGUGGCGCGAGGCUUUAGGGUAAAACGUUCAGAUUCACCGUAUACUUUAGCUCGUUCAAGCACCUCGUCAAGGGCAACGGGCCUUAUCGUAUACAUAAUACCUUUUACUCGAUCAACGUCGACCGCUUUCAGGGUCCUCGAGAGCGUUCUGAUUAAGUAGGAUCAGCUAGAUCGUUCGGGACUUUCGUGAUGUUCGCUCGGAUACGGUCGACCGUGGCCGACUGCGAUCUACAAAUCCUUGAUCCUUUCUAAAAUCCUUUUAAUCAUUUAUUUUUUACUAGACUGCGGACUGCAUUCGUCGCAAAAAUGAGUUGCUGCAAUACAAUGCGAAGGCUUGAAAAUAUUUCUAAGAAUAAUGCCAAAUUAGUUUUGGUUUAUCGACGUUAUUAUAUAAAGAAAUGCAUUUCUAAUUUAUGUUUCUUGCUAUUAACACAGAGACAUUUUAUUUCGCAUGAAGAUCCGCAGUCUAUUUACUGCGGCGAAAUUUGAAAUUGAAUGCUGGCAAACUGUUGCUCAAAAAUUAAGAGUCUAUGGGAACGAAUCGGAGAUCUUUUUUCAAAUCUAUUUGAUCCGCAACGUUAAACGAUUUGGUACCUUGAUGAUUGUAAAUAUUGAGAACCGUCUAAUCUCGAGGAUCGUUAAUUUAAUUUUAUAUCCCCGAACUUCUCUUUUGCUGGCCCAUUUCGAGAAUUGCAUUAGAAAAUAUUAGAAAAAUUGAACAUUGGUAGCAGUUGCUUCAAAAUCGAGCAAAUUAUUUGAAUCAUCCAAAAACCAAUGACGCUAAUCGUUCAAAAUAAGAGGUUCCAAAGGGUUCGGCUAACGAUUUAUCAACGAGACAGAGAAACCGCGAGAGCAGUCGGUCCACGAUCGACUUGAUCAGAGUCGCGCUCGAACGAAGAGAGUCGCACGUCGCCAUAAUCGCUGCCUGCCCAGCAGCCCUUAAAUGCCGACAAUCAAGGCUAGUGCAACUAAUCAAACGAUAAUAAAUAGAAACGGAGAAGAUGAAGAAAUUACCUAAUAAUAUUUAAUGAGUCUUAGAUGAGUGACCGUCGCGACGGUGGGUUCGUUCAUGUCAUUCGCUGCGUGGCCUCCACGAGCAUCGGCGAGAGAACAAGCGAACAAUGAAAAGCUAGCGUAGAAAACGAGCGACGAGAAAUCUAGGAGCAAGGUGAAAAAAAGAAAAAAGGAAAGUAUUUUGGAACGGUAAUCUCGUGGAGGAUCAUCGACACGCGGACAUGGCAGAUCUGUGAAUGGAGAUCACGUGCUUGACUGUAGACAGUACAAAAAAGUGCGGCGCGUGGCGAAGAGAUCCAGAAUCCAGGUUUUUAGGAUCUAGGAUGAUUUUACUCUGAUAGAAACUAAAAGGUCACACGUUUUGAACUGUCGUUCGUGCUAGGUGACAGGGGCUCAUCUUUCGCCACUCAAUUGAUCCGGGCCUCGCAUUUAAAGCUCCUCGGGGGCUCGGGACUACUUUCCAAAGAGACAUUGCCUUAUCUACGAGCGUUCGAACUCCGCAGCUCUCAGAUUCAGUUCGAUUCGGCGUGUCCUUAACUCUGGGGAAACUCGAUGAAACAGCGGUCGGGAUUGCAUUUGUUCCGCGACACGCGUUGCAUUUACUCCGAAAUGUUUCAAUCGUUUGCCGCACGAAUUCGUUCGCAUGGAUGUUUCGUUCUGCUUCAUUUUGCGGACCAUCGAUGAAUUUUUCAGACAAAAAUAGGUAGCGUGUUUUCGUCGCAGGUUUCUUUUGUACGCGAUAAGUAUGCGAAAUAACUAUUUCCGAAGACAAUUGUACGAAACACUAGUCGAAUAAAAACAAAUUGUUCCUUUUAGUAAUUUCAGUAGGUUGAUGACUUUGAAUUAAUCGAAUAACUUUGAAUACUUUUAACAAGUUCAGAAUAGUUUCAUAAUGUUAUAAAAUUGUUCUUAUGUCUUCAAUAUUUAUUUCUUCAUCCUUAAAGACAUCGUUUCACAAGAAGAUUGCAUUGUUUAAUACAUUGUUUAUCAAAUAACAUCAUGUUUAAUGUUUCGAAUGCUUCCAGCCGCAUUCUGAAUCAACAUCGUCAUUUCACGCAUCAUUUCGCGCACCAUUUUAUACAUUUACGACGAAGCCGACUAAUUGAAGUUUAAUAAUAAUUGACAAGAAUCGAAAAAUCGUUAUCACUUGUUGCUUAUCGAAAAAUCUCGAAGAGAGAAGAGAUCUCAACGUGGCCGUUCGUUGCUCUUCCAAAGAGAUCUUCGUCCGGCAUUAAAAUCUGCGUUGACGCACAGUUGAACAGCUCGAUUGCCCAGGGUUAAUUACCGCGAACGAUCUCUGCGCCACGUGACAGAGACAGACAUGUAGCUAGCACCCGUGGAAACGUUCGUCCCCCCAACGUCAUUGUCAAGGUCCUCGUCACCUUUAUUCCGACUCGACUGGACUCGAACGAGGCGUGAAAGGAGACGGAGCGUGAACGGGAUAUGAGCGAGCGAAUGGUAGGAGCGAGAGAGUGUGCAAUCGCAAUCAAUUAUUAACUAUAAUAACGGCAGAAAGUGCGGCGGAAUUUACGUAGGACAUAGGUACACGGGUCUCGCGAGGGGGGAAAAAAAGAGAGAGAUACAUACCGGCAGGCAAGUUGACGAUAGAGCGAGAUCGACGAUAAAGAGAGACAGAACGAGAUAUGGUGGUGUUAAUCGCAACAAAAAAAAACAAAAAAACAAAAUGAAACCUUGGUAGCAGCGCAUAAGGGUAUCCAUAAGCUUUUGGUAACGUAUUAUCGCCGCUAGGCUAAAAGAGAAUUAAUAAGAUACAAAAAAAAACAGAAAAAUAUAUAUAUAUAUUAUAUUAUGGAAGAAAAGACAGUGAAGGAGAGAGAGAGAGAGACGCGAACACGCAGGAGAAAAACAUUAUAACGGGUGGACUGCGGAUUUCGCGCAUCGGAAAGUUUGUAGAUCGAAAACGGCGUGAAACGGUUUCGAGAAUUCCGUUGUUUCCAAACGGUUCACAUUGUUUAGGUUGUUUCCGUGGCAGUGUUUGUAUCGCGCGGGCCGACGCGGACGAUUGUUCAUUUCGCAGACGAAAUCCGCAGUCCACUGGGCGAAAAACUCGCGAGGAGACUCGAGUGUGUUUCGAGAGCAUCGGGCCCGUGCGAAAACGAGACCUCGACGAAAAUCAGCGUCGCGGCGACGAGAACCGCUCAACCGGCGACCGGAGAUCGCACCCAACAGUCGAUGCUCAACGAUUUCAGCGGCGAGAACAGAAUGAACGGAACUGGAGGGAACGUGGAACGACGAGCGUUUGUAUAAUCGGUCAACGGGGGGGAAAAAAAACAUGAAAAUAAUAUUAAUAAUUAACGCGAUACGUCUAUUCGGAAAAUUAUUUGGAUAAUCUGUGAUACUCAGAUUGACGAUUAUUAUCGGUUAUCUCGGUCGGAACUAUUCGGAGAAUUUUUGCGCGGGCGUUUUUAAUCGGUGGCGUACGUAAUUAAUAUCGGGCCUGUUUGACGGGGGCUCGAUUAGGACGCUUGCUGGAGGGACGCGACCGCGAGACUAGGUCGCCAUCUUGGAUACGAAAGUAUCCGCGAGAUCCAUUUCGAUCAUUACUGGUAAUUAGUGACAUCGAUAACAACUGAUAUUGGGAGAAGAAACGUCGUUAAAAGAUUCUUAAGCAGAAGAUUUAUGCAAUGACGAUCUCUUCGUCGAAUUGGCGAAUGAGAAUAUGCUUUGUUUAGCAUCAAAAACACACUGAAAUGCUUUAAGAGAUUGAGUAAUUAUCAAUUUAGAGUUUCACUUAGCAAGCGAAUAAUUUCUUCUUCGUCCACAAUUUCACUCAAAAGAAAAUGAAAUUAAUUAUCAGAAUUUCUACAUUCUAAAAUUCAAAAAAUAUUUAUACCUAUAAAUGUACAACUAUCCAAACUUUAUAAAUGAUCAAUGAAAAGAAUUUACGUUUCGUUGCGAGGAUCCAGGAAAAUCAAUUAUACAAUUCGUCAAGAUUCAGUUCAUUAAUAAAUUAUUUUGUCGUCGUCCACGAUUUCACUCGAACAAAAAUCAAAUUAAAUGUUAUCGCGAUUUCCAUCCCCUAAAAUUCGAAAGGUACGUACAGCGAUAAAUUACGCAACAAAAAAGUUCACGAUCGUCGAACGAUCGGCGUUAGGGAUCUCCGUUUAAUUGAGUGGAUCCGGGGGGAAAUUAAUUAUAAAGUUCGUCUAGAUGGAUGGAGCGUGGACUUAGUUUCGCGAUCGCGCCAAUUUGUCACGAUCUAUCGGGACGCUCGUGGUAAUCGCCCCGUGGCCAACUGGAGACGAGGUCCGGACCGAUCCAUGGAUCAUCGGUGAUCGGUAGAUCGGGCAGAUCGCAGGUGCUCGGAAGCGUUUGAGUCGGGAACGUUCGGCCCGGCGCUACGCGGCGCGGCUCGUUGAUUCGAUUGCGGCUGACGCGCUCCGACAGAUUGUUUUUUAUAUACAUAAUGUUUGCUCGGAUCAUCCAGCGAGCACGCGCGAGACUCGCGGCGAUUAAUCGUUCGGGAAAUGCGUACUCGAUAGUUUCUCGUGGGAGGCCAGAGCACGCGGAUUCUUUCCACUCGGUUUUUUUACGAUAUUCGCACGGACCUGGAGAUCGCGCGUCCACGAAAUCGGCCAGUUUUCUCGCCGAUUCAACAAUCUCUUCCGCCACGAUUGAUUUCUCCGACUUCGCCUGUUCUCAAUCGAUCGCUAUUUAUUCCUAUCGGUCGCUAUUCAUUUCCGAAAGUUUUCGCCGCGAACUAAAAUGAUUUUCCAACAGGAUUGUACCGAAGCAAAUUACAAUUGUAAAUUCGUGAACGGAGAGUGCGCUUGUUUUAGCAGAUCCGCGGUAAUCGACUUCGGAGAAGUUAAAGGAGAAGCUGCAGUUCGGCAAGAGAAAUUGAUUUCCUAAAGUGGAAAUACCACGAAUCUCUGAAUCGAUCGUGCUCAUUCUCAUUUGAAUAGUUUCGCGUCGUAAGAACUCUAACGAGAGCAACCCUAAUUCGAGCGAAAUGCUGCAACGAUUGAAAUGCAGACUCGACGCGUCGUUGUUGAACGAUCGAGAAAAACAAUUCUGUUUAAUCGAGCAACGAUUUUUUAAAAGUGUGUCACGAAAGCGACGGGUUCGUUUAUAUAGCGUCUGGCAGCCGAUUUCGCGGAUGUCGUUUAAGUUGUAUUCCACGUAACACCCACGAGAUAAUCAUGUUACUAAGACUCUGCGUUUUUUAAUAUCAGCGAGGCUCGGCCCGGACAACGGGCGGACAAAAGUGUUUUCAAUAAACUGUUACAUUACCUGAA